CCUACGGGGGGCUGCAGUAAGGAAUAUUGCUCAAUGGCCGAAAGGCUGAAGCAGCAACGCCGCGUGGAGGAUGAAAUACUUUUGUAUGUAAACUCCUGUAAGAGGGGAAAAAUAUACAGUUUAUACUGUGUUGAUUGUACCCUCAGAGUAAGCACCGGCUAACUACGUGCCAGCAGCCGCGGUAAUACGUAGGGUGCUAGAGUUGUCCGGAUUUACUGGGUGUAAAGGGUGCUCAGGUGGGUUUGUAAGUCAGAGGUGAAAUCCCAAAGCUUAACUUUGGAGCUGCCUUUGAUACUGCAAGUCUGGAGUUUGAGAGAGGGCAAUGGAAUAUCUGGUGUAGCAGUGAAAUGCGUAGAUAUCAGAUAGAACACCAAUGGCGAAGGCAGUUGCCUGGCUCAAAACUGACGCUAAAGCACGAAAGUGUGGGGAGCAAACAGGAUUAGAUACCCCGGUAGUC
rnacentral:rRNA from 1 species